rnacentral:rRNA from 1 species
ACUCCUACGGGAGGCAGCAGUGGGGAAUAUUGGACAAUGGGCGCAAGCCUGAUCCAGCAAUGCCGCGUGAGUGAUGAAGGCCUUAGGGUUGUAAAGCUCUUUUACCCGGGAUGAUAAUGACAGUACCGGGAGAAUAAGCAUCGGCUAACUCCGUGCCAGCAGCCGCGGUAAU